rnacentral:rRNA from 1 species
GACAGAGGUGCCAAGCGUUAGGCGGAAUCACUGGGCUUAAAGCGUGUGUAGGCGGAUCGUUAAGUACCUUGUGAAAUCCCACGGCUCAACCGUGGAACUGCUGGGUAUACUGGCGAUCUUGAGCCACCUAGGGGCGAGCGGAACAAGCGGUGGAGCGGUGAAAUGCGUAGAUAUCGCUUGGAACGCCGAAGGUGAAAACAGGUUGCUGGGGAUGUGCCGACGCUGAGACACGAAAGCCAGGGGAGCAAACGGG